rnacentral:rRNA from 1 species
UACGUAGGUGGCAAGCGUUGUCCGGAUUUACUGGGUGUAAAGGGCGUGCAGCCGGGCCGGCAAGUCAGAUGUGAAAUCCCGCGGCUUAACCGCGGAACUGCAUUUGAAACUGCUGGUCUUGAGUACCGGAGCGGUCAUCUGAAUUCCUUGUGUAGCGGUGAAAUGCGUAGAUAUAAGGAAGAACACCAGUGGCGAAGGCGGAUGACUGGACGGCAACUGACGGUGAGGCGCGAAAGCGUGGGGAGCAAACA